CCUACGGGUGGCAGCAGUGAGGAAUAUUGGUCAAUGGCCGAGAGGCUGAACCAGCCAAGUCGCGUGAGGGAAGACGGCCCUACGGGUUGUAAACCUCUUUUGUCGGGGAGCAAAGCGAGUCACGUGUGACUCAUUGAGAGUACCCGAAGAAAAAGCAUCGGCUAACUCCGUGCCAGCAGCCGCGGUAAUACGGAGGGUGCAAGCGUUACUCGGAAUCACUGGGCGUAAAGAGUGCGCAGGCGGGCUUGUAAGUCAGAUGUGAAAUCCUGUAGCUUAACUACAGAACUGCAUUUGAAACUAUGAGUCUAGAGUGUGGGAGAGGUAGGUGGAAUUCUUGGUGUAGGGGUAAAAUCCGUAGAUAUCAAGAGGAAUACUCAUUGCGAAGGCGACCUACUGGAACAUUACUGACGCUCAUGCACGAAAGCGUGGGGAGCAAACAGGAUUAGAUACCCGGGUAGUC
rnacentral:rRNA from 1 species